UUGAAAGAAAAUUCAGAAACCGGGGAACAAAACGUAAUUUUAAAAAGUUAUGCCACAUCAGCUGCCCGGUCAGCAGCCCCGACCAACCAGAACGCACCAGGUGGCAGAGACGUUGACGUGGGAGGCCACGCAGGAGGGAGUCUCGUGGGUGAUCCGCGUGCGCGCGAUCAAACGGGUGAGAUCCGUUCCCGCACACACGGACGGCCCAGAUAAAAAAC
rnacentral:lncRNA from 1 species